GGCAGGGUAGCUCAGUUGGUUCGAGCACUGGAUUCAUAUCCCAGAGGUCGUGGGUUCGAUCCCCACCCCUGCUA
rfam:Microgenomates (Woesebacteria) bacterium GW2011_GWA2_33_28 TR38_C0016, whole genome shotgun sequence.